UCUUACUAUGUGUGUGCACUUGGGAUACAGUGGGAAACGAGUCUCAGAACGGGCCCUCAAGAAGCUUAUAAUCCGAUGGAGACAUGCUACCGAUACGUGGUACAAUGCUUUCUCGUGAUGCUGGGCAGUGGCAGGGAACUGCCCCUCCCACUUGGCCACAGAAUUCGGGGAGUGAGCAGCCCAUACGCUGACAAGCCUACUUACCCAUAGGACCAUUCUGUCUUUCACUUUCAGUAUAGUAUUCACCCCAAUGUGAGUAUUCCAGGUUGUCGGAGCAGCAAUACUCCAUGAGAUCAUUUUGAGACCCAGGUUCCCUUUGGACAACGAUGCCGUCUCCUGCCUGGUGAAAGCUCCGUCGCUACCUUAUCCCUGGGUUCCAGCAUAUGGGAAGGAAAAAGGAUAUUUAGGGCCACUAGCUUUGUCCUGGAGGAGUUGACCCAGAACUGGUGAAAAUACUUCUUGCUCACACUCCAUGGACCUGAACUGAGAUGCACAGCCAUUCCUUAUUGCAGGGGAGGCUAAGAAAUGCCGCUUAUGGCUGGGCAGCCAUGUGUCCUGCUGAAGCUUAGGAUAAUCUCUUACUAAACAGAAGUUGACGACGAGCGCUUAGAAGAGUUAAUAGCCUCUGGCACAGUAAGGGGACAACUGUCUUUUUAGCUCAGAGCAGAACAAAAGCUGCGUCCACUUGAAACUGCUGCUCUUGGACAAGGUAAGCGCUGUUUUUAUUUUUUUUCAUUUUUAUAAGUAAAUGCAGUUCUUACCUGGAGUGAUACAAAGCACACGGGUAACUCAAUCCUCAGUCUCCUUAAAGCUUCUUGCUGUAAAAUGUGCACUUUCUGUCCCCCCCCUGCACCCAACGCACGAUCACUAACUAGAAGGGAGUUGUCUGGACCAGUUGCCACAAACCCUUUCCCUUUCUUUUACUUUUUCUGAGUCCCUGAAAUCCUGUCUCCCUGAUCUUUGAUCUAGUCCUUCCAAAAUGCUUUUUUUGAAAACUUGCUAAUGAUCUCCUAAUUGCCAAAGCCAAUGUUCAUGCCAACCUAGUGCCCUUUGUAGCCUUCGAUACUACCGACUGUUCCCUUUCUGUUUGAAGCUCUCAUUUUUUCAGAUCUAAGUUUUAAAACAAUUUUGCCCUUGACCCCUCUGUUCUUUUGCUCCAGCUGCCUAGUCCCAUGAGGGAUUUUCUCUCACAAGGCAUCAACUGGCAUCCCACGUAUAUUCAGACAGGUCCACCUCUCUGGCUUCACUUCUCACGAGGUCCAGCCUUGUAUUCCCAAGCAUUUCCAGCUAAGCAUUCUCAAUGGAUGCCCCUACUGAAAGCAGCAGGUGUGAUCGUGAACACCUGACCUAUUCCCCCAAAGUCAGCUCCUUCUCCGAACCUUCCUAGUUCUGUCCAUGGUACCAGCCAUCUCCAUUGCCCUGGCUUGGAAGCUAGAUGGAUUCAUCUUGACUGAUGCACCAUCACUGACUUUUUCUAGUCCCCAUGUCAAAGCAGUCACUGAGGACCAUCAGCUCUGCCUUCACAACAUGUCUCUCCCCUAAGGCUUCUCGUCCUUUCCACUUUAUCUACUAUCACCACGGUUUAGGGUUUGUCAUCUAAUCCAUGGACCAUGGGAAGAAUGAACUCGUUACCUUGUCUCCUGUCUAGAUUUCUUUCCCUCUCCUGCACUCUGCUUCCCCAUGAAUCAUUUUUAAACACUGCUUUCAUUCUACCAAUUCCUCGCUCAAGAAAUCCUCAAUAGUUCCCUGAUGACGAACACCCUAAUACUUUACUCUUCUUUUUAUUUCAACAUAUGAAGACAGACAUGCUUCUCUAACUACUGGGCGAACAUACUUUUUCAACUCAUCCCCAAAUCCAUGUGCUUCUCUCUACAUCCACAGCUACACCGUAAUUCAAGCACCCCCACCCUCUCAUCGGGACAUCACCUCCUAACUGGCCUCUCUGCUUCUACUCUUGUUUUACUACAAUGCAUUCUCCACAGCCAGAAUGGUCUUUUAUUUAUUUACCUUUU